rnacentral:rRNA from 1 species
AUACGAAGGGGGCUAGCGUUGUUCGGAAUCACUGGGCGUAAAGCGCGCGUAGGUGGAUCAAUUAGUUGAGGGUGAAAUCCCGGGGCUCAACCUCGGAACUGCCUCCAAUACUGUUGAUCUUGAGACCGAGAGAGGUGAGUGGAAUUCCUAGUGUAGAGGUGAAAUUCGUAGAUAUUAGGAAGAACACCAGUGGCGAAGGCGGCUCACUGGCUCGGUACUGACGCUGAGGUGCGAAAGCGUGGGGAGCAAACAGGAUUAGAAACCCUAGUAGUCC